GGAGAGGUGAUGUUGAAUGG
rnacentral:siRNA from 1 species